UACGUAGGGGGCAAGCGUUGUCCGGAAUCAUUGGGCGUAAAGAGCGUGUAGGCGGCUUGGUAAGUCCGCUGUGAAAGUCCAGGGCUCAACCCUGGAAAGCCGGUGGAAACUGUCAAGCUUGAGUCCGGAAGAGGCGAGUGGAAUUCCUGGUGUAGCGGUGGAAUGCGCAGAUAUCAGGAGGAACACCAAUGGCGAAGGCAGAUCUCUGGGCCGUAACUGACGCUGAGGAGCGAAAGCAUGGGGAGCGAACAGG
rnacentral:rRNA from 1 species